GAUGAACGCUGGCGGCGUGCCUAAUACAUGCAAGUCGAGCGAACGGACGAGAAGCUUGCUUCUCUGAUGUUAGCGGCGGACGGGUGAGUAACACGUGGAUAACCUACCUAUAAGACUGGGGUAACUUCGGGAAACCGGAGCUAAUACCGGAUAAUAUUUUGAACCGCAUGGUUCAAAAGUGAAAGACGGUCUUGCUGUCACUUAUAGAUGGAUCCGCGCUGCAUUAGCUAGUUGGUAAGGUAACGGCUUACCAAGGCAACGAUGCAUAGCCGACCUGAGAGGGUGAUCGGCCACACUGGAACUGAGACACGGUCCAGACUCCUACGGGAGGCAGCAGUAGGGAAUCUUCCGCAAAGGGCGAAAGCCUGACGGAGCAACGCCGCGUGAGUGAUGAAGGUCCUCGGAUCGUAAAACUCUGUUAUUAGGGAAGAACAUAUGUGUAAGUAACUGUGCACAUCUUGACGGUACCUAAUCAGAAAGCCACGGCUAACUACGUG
rnacentral:rRNA from 1 species